rnacentral:lncRNA from 1 species
CGGGCCGCGGGCAUCGGCUGCUUGGGCGCCGCGGGCUGCUUGGGGGACGGCGCGGCGGAGCCCGCGGGCUGCUCCGCGCUGCCUGCCGCGUUGCCCAUGGUGGUCCCCACCCAGUCGGCCAGGCGCCUCCAGCCUCGGAAAUCCAGCUUUCCGGGGGACCGGGGACGAGGCUCCCGGCCUGGGGGGCGAGCAGGGCAGAGGCUGGCGGCGGCGGCGGCGCGGCGCGGCUCGGCUCCGCGGCGCUCGGCUCAGCUGCGCGCAAGGGCCGGGGCGCGGCGUCCCAUCGGGGCGGCCCCGUCCGAGGAGCCGGGCGGCGAGCUGCGGGGUGGGGGGAGGAAGUCAGGCUGCAGGCCGCGGGGGACAGAGGGCUGGGCCGGGGGCAGGAAGCUGCGGCGCGGGCUCCCCCCUCGGCGAUUUUCUAACUUCUGCUGUCGCUCCCCGAGCGCGCAAACCGCAUUUCGCCGCCGCCGCUACGCACCCUGCCCCCGGGGGGCGGGCUGGAGGGAGGGGGCGGGCGCCGGGAGCCGGCCGGGGGUCCGCCGCAGCCAUGGCGCUGCGCGGAGGGGGCCGGCGACCCGCUUCACCUGCCGCAGAGGGGGCGGCGGGCGCCGUUUCACCUGCGGGAGCGGGAGGCGGCCGAGGCGAGGCAGAGGCGGCGGCGCGCGCGGCGGCGCCUCCGGGUCCUAGAACCGCAUGCUCCCGCUCUUCCGAGCCGGGGAUCGGCGGGGUCUGGGUGAGGGGGGUCACGGCCUGGGAGUCGGAGGGGGCAAACCUCCGGGAGUCGGAGGGGGCAAACCUCCUUGCCGAGGAUGCCAGCAACUGCGUGCUCGGCUUGGAGACCCAUGACGGUGCGGCGUUGGGGCGCAAGGGCUGGGUCCCCCUCUCGGAUUCUGGACUGAGAAGGUGGGAACCCCCUUCCAGGCCCCCUACCCCUUGUUUCUCCCCUCAUCUGUUUGGUCCAGAGAGGAGCUGAGGAUCAGAGGGAACCAUCUGCAAACGAGAGCCCCAAAGCAUGGCGAGGAGCGCAGAUCCAGGCCAACCGAGACCCCCGGACCUGUCCCACCCUGGACCAACUCUGCGCCCAUACCGACAUCCCCAGGGUUUUAUAACGAGGGCGCCUAUGGGAAAAGGCAAGGUACGGGAAUCUGGGGACCACCAAGGCGGUCUCAAGGAGAAGCGCAGGGGUUGGGGAACAGAGGAUUAAAGCCAGUAUCCAGGCUGAGAAAGGAGCAGGCUCCGCAGAGGAGAAAAAAAAUAUCUCCUUGACGCUGUCCCCUCCAGGGACGUAGGGUGGCCUCUCACCUUGGUGAAUAACAAUCCCUGAAGUCUAGCAAUUACAGAAAUGCUUCCAGAGGUCUUCUUUCAUUCAUCCCUACAGUGACUGGGGAAGGUAGGUAUUGACAUCUUCAUUUAGAGAUGGGAAAACAGACUCAGGGUGGUUAGUUGACUUGCCCAAGGGCACACAACUAAUAAAGGUCACAAACAGCCCUACUCUCUGCCCACCUUCAAAAUCCACACUGCCUUGGAGCUGCUGCCCUAGCCCCCACUGCCCCUCUCAUCCAGGGUGGGCCAGAAAGGUGAGUGAGUAUUGGGAGGACUAUAGAACCCCAGCUCUGAGACACAAUCUCCAACCUGUAUUUGAGGCCCUUCUCCCUCAGUUGCUCUUAUUGUUCCCCAUCGAAUCUGUGGAGAUCCCGAGCUGCCCCUCCCUUCACUUCCAAAACAUUGAGGAUGGAGGGCCCACUACAUGAGGCCUGGAUUUUCUCUAGGCCAGGCCAGAGGCCAUAAGUGUCCCUUCCCCUUAUAGCUUCCUCUUCCUUCUACCUUCCCUUUCACAUGCAGAACCACUGACAAAUUUCAGCAGGAGCUGGGAAAUUUACCUAAUUUUAAGGAAGGCCCUGGGAUGAGACAGCCCCUUCCCCCAGACUGACCUGAUUUAAGUGCUUCUUCUGCCAAGGUCACCAGCACGUCUGGUGGGUGAGAGAUGUGGUUACUUAUUUCAUGUCCCAGCCAGGGACGCACAGGUAAGACAAAGCAGGAUUUUCCUGGAACCUGCUACCAAGGUGAUCCAUUCUGUGCCCGCUACCCUUAUCCUCAGCUGACCUGGGGUUCUUGCCCUUGACAUUAGCUAGGACAUCUUUUUUUAUUUCUUUUUAAAGAAUUUAGUCCCUGAUCCCCUCAAUGCUUGUCCCUUUCCUUUUAACAACAUACCUUAAAUUUACACUAGCUGUGUGCCCAGCACUGUGCUCACUCCUGUUGAUUCAGUGGCAGAUGAAAAGAGUCCCCAUUAUUAGACUGCUCACAGCCUAGCAAGGGACAGACUCCAAACACAUCUGGGAGAGUAACUACCAUCAGGCAGACUGGUAGCAGGUGUUCAUGCUUCCCCUUGCCCAGAACUACUUCUUCCGGUAGGUAAGAGAAGGAUGGGAGUUGUGCGCUGCAACUGAAAAUCCGAGCAGGGUGGGGAGCCUCUAAUGAAGUAGUUGCCAGCCUAAGCCCUCCAUUCCUGGGGAUGCUCUGGCCAUUGCCAACCACU